AACUUUUUAAUAGCGCCAGAACCUAUUAGGUUGACGAGGAUUAGUUGUUAUCGAAAAUUCGGCGGAUGCGACUACGGAUAAGUAUAUUCGUUAAAUGUGUUACAAAGAGUAAAAUCAAUAUUACAACAAAAAACACAUUACAUACAUUU
rfam:Acholeplasma sp. CAG:878 genomic scaffold, scf59